rnacentral:rRNA from 1 species
AGUAGCCACGGUAAUACGUAGGUGGCAAGCGUUGUCCGGAAUUAUUGGGCGUAAAGGGCUCGCAGGCGGUUUCUUAAGUCUGAUGUGAAAGCCCCCAGCUCAACCGGGGAGGGUCAUUGGAAACUGGGAAACUUGAGUGCAGAAGAGGAGAGUGGAAUUCCACGUGUAGCGGUGAGAUGCGUAGAGAUGUGGAGGAACACCAGUGGCGAAGGCGACUCUCUGGUCUGUAACUGACGCUGAGGAGCGAAAGCGUGGGGAGCGAACAGGAUUAGAUACCCCAGUAGUCCCUGUCUCUUAUACC